GACGAACGCUGGCGGCGUGCCUAAUACAUGCAAGUAGAACGCACAGUUUAUACCGUAGCUUGCUACACCAUACACUGUGAGUUGCGAACGGGUGAGUAACGCGUAGGUAACCUGCCUGGUAGCGGGGGAUAACUAUUGGAAACGAUAGCUAAUACCGCAUAAUAUUGAUUAUUGCAUGAUAAUUGAUUGAAAGAUGCUAUUGCAUCACUACCAGAUGGACCUGCGUUGUAUUAGCUAGUAGGUGAGGUAACGGCUCACCUAGGCGACGAUACAUAGCCGACCUGAGAGGGUGAUCGGCCACACUGGGACUGAGACACGGCCCAGACUCCUACGGGAGGCAGCAGUAGGGAAUCUUCGGCAAUAGACGAAAGUCUGACCGAGCAACGCCGCGUGAGUGAAGAAGGUUUUCGGAUCGUAAAGCUCGGUUGUAAGAGAAGAACGGGUGUGAGAGUGGAAAGUUCACACUGUGACGGUAUCUUACCAGAAAGGGACGGCUAACUACGUG
rnacentral:rRNA from 1 species